rnacentral:rRNA from 1 species
UGGGGAAUAUUGCACAAUUGGGGAAACCCUGAUGCAGCGACGCCGCGUGAGCGAAGAAGGUUUUCGAAUCGUAAAGCUCUGUCCUAUGAGAAGAUAAUGACGGUAUCAUAGGAGGAAGCCCCGGCUAACUACGUGCCAGCAGCCGCGGUAAUACGUAGGGCGCAAGCGUUAUCCGGAAUUAUUGGGCGUAAAGAGCUUGUAGGCGGUUCGUCGCGUCUGGUGUGAAAGCCCUUCGCUUAACGGUGGGUUUGCGCCGGGUCCGGACGGGCUAGAGUGCAGUAGGGGAGACUGGAAUUCCCGGUGUAACGGUGGAAGGUGUAGAUAUCGGGAAGAACACCCAUGGCGGAGGCAGGUCUCUGGGCUGUUACUGACGCUCAGAAGCGAAAGCGUGGGGAGCGAACAGG